rnacentral:lncRNA from 1 species
GGGAACGGGUGUUGGCUGCUCUGGUGCUUGCUGCUCUUGGAGUUGCCUACUCUGUCUGCGUCUGCUCUGGCUCUGCAUCUCCGGGGUUGGCUGCUCUGGCACUUUUGUGCUCUGGCUCUACUACUCUGCUCUGCUGCUCUACUCGGUGCAGCCUUGCCCGCAGGGAUGGCUUGCUCUUCCUUGUAUUGUUUUGGCUUUGCGUUGUUUGCUCCCGUUUUUGCAAGGGUUUAGUUGUUUUUUCAGUUUUUUUGGGGUUUUCUUUUUUGAGGCUCAUCUCCUUGUUUGCGCCUGUGCUCUCAAGGUUUUUUCCAAACUUUUUUUUUCAAUAAACCAUUUCAGCCUAAAGAUUUCUUCUUGAUUUUUUUUUUCCUUUCUUCAUUUACUAUGCUCUCCAAUCUCGCCAUCCUUGAUGAAGCCGGCGAUUAAGUCAGGCAACAUUUAUCCAUGCGCUUAAAAAUCAUCAUCUUUGCGAAUAAUAC